rnacentral:rRNA from 1 species
CUCACUGAUUUUUGAAAGAUUUUCGGUGGAGGAUGACUUCGCGGCCUAUCAGCUUGUUGGUGAGGUAAUGGCUCACCAAGGCUACGACGGGUAUCCGGCCUGAGAGGGCGACCGGACACACUGGGACUGAGACACGGCCCAGACUCCUACGGGAGGCAGCAGUGGGGAAUAUUGGGCAAUGGACGAAAGUCUGACCCAGCGACGCCGCGUGAGGGAUGAAGGCCUUCGGGUUGUAAACCUCUUUCAGUAGGGAAGAAGCGAAAGUGACGGUACCUAAAGAAGAAGCACCGGCUAACUAUGUGCCAGCAGCCGCGGUAAUACAUAGGGUGCAAGCGUUGUCCGGAAUUAUUGGGCGUAAAGAGCUCGUAGGUGGUUUGUUGCGUCGGGUGUGAAAUUCAGGGGCUCAACCCCUGACCUGCACUCGAUACGGGCAGACUGGAGUUUGGUAGGGGAGACUGGAAUUCCUGGUGUAGCGGUGGAAUGCGCAGAUAUCAGGAGGAACACCAAUGGCGAAGGCAGGUCUCUGGGCCAAUACUGACACUGAGGAGCGAAAGCGCGGGGAGCGAACAGGAUUAGAUACCCUGGUAGUCCGCGCCGUAAACGAUGGGCGCUAGUUGUGGGGACCUUCCACGGGUUUCUGCGACGCAGCUAACGCAUU